GAGGGCAUAGCUCAGCUGGUUAGAGUACUUGCUUGACAUGCAAGGGGUCGGUGGUUCAAGUCCACUUGUCCUCACCA
rnacentral:tRNA from 1 species